CCCGUCAACCCGACCCAACCCGUCCGAAAAUAUUCGGUUCGGGUUAUGAUCAUAACCCAUGAUGAAUACAAUUCGGGUUGGCCCAACCCAACCCGCUUCGGGUUGAGGUUGGGUUGGGACUGGGCUGGGUUGGGCCAACCCAAGUUGCAGCCCUAGUUGCAACUAAGAUGGUGUCACUAAUUGUUGAGGAGCAGAAAUUAAAGGGCAGUAGAAGCAAUAAUAAAUUGGGUCAGAAGAAGAGGUUGAUGAUGUGUGUGAUGUUAUUGCUUGAAAUCUUUGAGAGGAUUGGUGAGGAGAUAGAAUAUUUGGUGUCCGGAUCACAUGUCAUUGUAUGUUACUAUAUACUCCCUCACUUCUCCUAUUCUUGUGAAUUUAAUGACAUUGGUGUUAGUUUUGCCUAACUAAUAGUAGUAACUUUGAUGUUGGUUGACCUCGUGCAAUACCAGUGGUGCCCUGUUCUCCCCCUCUAGUGUGGUUUGAUGGUAGAAUGUGGUCUCUUUAUAACACCUUCUUUUCAAUUUUAUUUGCCUUUUUCUGGUUCCUUGCAGCCGACUGAGAGUUCAAAGAGGGCUGAAACAAUGGCAAAGUUACUUGUUUUCUGGCUCGCGGAUAUAGGCUUCCCAUUCACGAAUGAAGUUGAAGUUCUUAAACAUAUGAACUGGUUUGUUAUACCCUAUACUUGUAUUUUAUAUGGUUUGUCUUUCCAUCUACUUGUAUUUUGUACUUGAUUUAUAAAAAAUUUGCCUUGAAUUCCUUAAUAGCCAACACUAACGGGUAUCUUCUUCUUUUCUAUUAUAUUUGGAUGUGAAAUUAACGAUUUAUUACCGAAAGUUUAUUGGAUGAGCGGCAAGGGGAGUUGUCAGGUUGUUGAUUGCUUCCUUCCUCUUACAUUAAACUCAAUGUAUUUCCUGAGCCUGCCAAAGAAGAAGCAGUUCGACACAUCUUGUUUAAAGUUGUCAAUGUAUAGUUUUUUUUUUCUUCUCUUUCUUAACUGAUUCAGGUGGUGUUUGUGGAUCUAAAUUUGAACAAAAGAAUCCUAACAUCCCAGUGCACACAACGAUUCAGAUUCCUCCAAUAACAAAGGUAAGAAAGAUCUCUCUCUCUCUCUCUCUCUCGAUAAAAAAAGAAUAUCUUUUAUAAAGUGUUGAUGGGGUUUUGGUCCCUGAAACUACUGACACGUCUUCUAACAAGUAAUUUGUUGAAUUCAGAAUAAUUUUGGAAGUUAGUUCAUGAUAGUAUGAUUAGUCUAAGUACUUAGAAUAUAGGAAAAGGGACAUGCAAGAAAUGGAGUUGGAUUCAUUAUGAUUAGGAGAGGGAUGUUGUUUUUCUACAUGAAACUACUAAGUAGGUAGUUGAAAAGGUUUGAAAAUUGAAAACAUGGGAUAUAAACUUUAUUAGACCGGAAAAGAGAAACUGAGAAAUGGAGUCGGUGUUAUCAUCAAUGAGAAUUUAAAAGAUGCUAUAAUUAUUAUUGGAAAGAAGAUUGGAUAAUAUACUUAGUACUUAUGCACCACCCCAAGUAGGACUAGAUGAAUGCAUAUUUUGGCAAGUGACUGUGGGUGGCGCGGUGUGGACGUGGUUAGUUGAUUUAGUUAACGACAAUGCUACUUAGACAUAGAGGGGGUGAAUAGGUCUUCUUGCUUGAUUUUUAUGAUUGAUUAAUUAACCACGCCGUUUAACAAUUAAAUCUAAACCAAGCACAAAAUAAACAAUAUAGUAAAGCAAGUAAAGGAAAGAACACACCAGAUUUUUUAACAUGAAAAACCUCAGUGAGGAAAAAAACCAUGGAGACUAGACGUCUUGGGCAAAUCAAUCCACCAUCUUGAAGAAAGUUACACAAACCUUGUCUCAGUCUCACAUUGUUUACUCUGCCAAGAACUCAUUGCUGAACAUCCCAAACGGACUUGUUCAUUAGCUUUAAGUGGACCAAAGGCGAGCCAAACCAUUUUGUCUUUUUUCCCUAAAUGAUUGUAAGCUAAUCCCUGAAGAGACCUUAAUGUCACAAAUUAGUUUACUAGUUUUACAUGUGUCUGUAAAAGGAAAACAAAAAAUUAGAAGUAAAGUACUAACCUAAGAACUAAGUGGUGGAAUUUGAGAGAGGAGAAAGUAGAAUUUUUUAUAAAUAGAUGAUAAAAAGCAGCAAUAUGAAAUUUAGAUUAUGAAACUAACAUAGAAUAGGGUGAUUGAAUGUACUAAAUGAGUUUAUUGUACUUGAUUUGUUAAAAAUUUGCCCUGAAUUCCUUAAUAGCCAACACUAAUGGGUAUCUUCCUCUUUUCUAUUAUAUUUGGAUGUGAAAUUAAUGAUUUAUUACCGAAAGUUUAUUGGAUGAGCGGCAAGGGGAGUUGUCAGGUUGGUGAUUGGUUCCUUCCUCUUACAAUGAACUCAUUGUAUUUCCUGAGUGUGCCAAAGAAGAAACAGUUAGACACAUCUUGUUAAAAGUUGUUAAUAUAUAGUUUUUUUUUUUUUUUUUUUUUUUUUUGUUCUUCUCUUUCUUAACUGAUUCAGGUGGUGUUUGUGGAUCUAAAUUUGAACAAAAGGAUCCUAACAUCCCAGUGCACACAACGAUUCAGAUUCCUCCAAUAACAAAGAAGCAAACAACUAGAAUGCCACUUGAGCAGCAGCAGAGGUCAAUCUCGACACUCUCUUCACAGGAGAAACCAGGUUUACUUUCUAUGGUGCAGUCAAAUUAUAAGUCACAGAGAUUUACAACAAGGUUCAGUCCAAAGUUUUGCACAGCUACUGAAGCUCAGACAAAGGAAAACAUUCCAAGUGAUCAGGCGACCUGAGCCAGGUCUUGCGUUGAGCAAAAAAUUGUCCUCGUUUCUGUCGGUCAUCAAGAGCGGUAUUUGAUAUGCCUAAGUGACAUCUUUUCAGAUAUGGACGCUGUUAUUAUCCUCCCUUUUCUAGAUUUUUCCUUGCUAAUUUAUAGAUCCAAAUGAUUCCUAGUGGCAUCUUUUUGUUGUGGAUUUGGUUAUUAUUUGGUUGGAAGUUUUACAUUUUUACUUAUCAUGUACGAUGAUUGAUGAUGAGUUUUAUACAGGUAUGUGUAUGGUAGUAUUUUCUUUUUCACCAACUUAUUGAGUUAAAAUAAUUUUGCUAAUGGUUUUUUCAUCUGAUUGUAGGCAUAUGAAAGCUGUAGUUUCCAUUUAGGUGCAAACAUUGAAGUUUUGUGGAACUUGAAUGUCCAGGUAUGGAAGAAACCUUUUUACACGUGCUAUGGCAACCAGAAACUAAACAACUCUUAAGAGAAGAACCAAUAAGCCCAAUACAUAUUAUGGAGCGAGACUCAGGAGACACAAGGCCAAUAUCUUCUUUAACAACAAUCAUACAAUUUCCUAUUUUUGGUUUCUUCAAUUUACUUUUAUUAUUAUAAUUUUUUUGUCAUCAUUAUUGACUUAGUGAUUAAUCUGUACUAUUACUUUCUAAAACCUCACUUGUUGAAUUCGAUAAUAG